rnacentral:lncRNA from 1 species
UAUAUAUAUAGAGAGAGAGGGGCUCAUGAUCAAAUACAAACCACCCUCUAAAUACAAACUAAAAACCUUUCUUUUAUACUACCCAACAACUCCACAUUAUCUCUUUUAUCAAACCCCCUUCAUCUCUCUCUCUCUCCCCUCUCUCUCCACCUCUGCUACCACAUCUUUGCCGACCCACUCCUACCAACACUGCACUCAUGUCAUUGCUUCCGAUUACACCAUUAUCAUCACCACCAGCGGCUGAUAUGUAUACAAAAAUCGGUGAUAUUCUGGUAUAUAAUUUAGUAAUAUCUGCUGUACAUUUUAGUGAUUUUCG